CGCUAAACCCGACUUUUGACUUGAACCCGAAUCCGAUCCCGGACCUAGACCCGACUUAAAUAAAAUCAAAAAAUAAAAAUAAAAAUGAACUUUACGAGACACACUUUUGUUUUCUGUUUUUAAAAUUGAAAAACAAAAGUGGUUACAGAACGCAUUUUUAUUUUUUAAAAACAAAAAUUUUACUUUCAUUUUGUGAUUAAAAAAUUAAAAAAUAAAAGUGUUACCAAACAGCACCUAUGUUAAUCAAUUCAAUAUAUAUUUUUUAUUUUUUUAAAAAAUAAAGAUAGAAAAUAAGUGAAAGUAAUAACUUUUUUUUGUUGUUAUUUGAAAGAAGUGAAAAUAUCUUUCCAGUCUUAAUUUUAGUGUCAGAAGAAAUUAUAUGUUGUCACUCAUUAAUUCAUGGGAGUGAAACUACUUGGGAAAUUUUAAUUUUUGACCCUAAUAAAAUACCCUAUUUCAAAAUAUAUACCCUCCACUAAUUUAUACAAAUUAAUUCCACUAUUACUCAUUUGUACCCAAAAUACCCCUCAAAUUUAAUUUUCCUAUUCACACUCUCUUUCCGUCUUUCCCUCUCUCUCUCUCUCUCUCUCUCUCUCUCUCUCUUUCUCUCUCUCUCUCUGUCGUUCCAUCUCUCUCUCUGUCGUUCCCUAUCCCUCUUCGACAUCGACCCAACAUCACGACCCACUCCGGCCAUCCACCCACGUCCCCGACCCACUCCGGCCAUCCACCCACGACCCCGACCCAACCACGAACCACCACGGACCACCACCACGACCCAGUGACCACCACGAACCACCACGAACCACCACGGACCACAAAACGUCGCCACCACCACCACCCGUGAUCGUCGACACCGAACAGAGGCCUUCGCCACCACGAGCAGUACCCGUCGCCACCACCACCCGUGAUCAUUAAAAGAUGGCUCCCAGACUCAUUAUUCCAGCACCCGAGCAUUUCACUGGCCGCGUCACAUAUAGAGGCACUGGAAUUUUUGCAAAAAUUAAAGCUCGGUUUGAGGAGUUCAACCUUAAUAACACGGCGAAGGAAAGCCGUUUCGGGAGCUUCUGGAAUGCCGUACCACUGACAUUCUCCUCGGUGUUAU